rnacentral:lncRNA from 1 species
AAAAAAACCUUACAGGCAUGUGUUUUAACUUUGCAGCUGCCUGAGGCCGUGGACAACAGCUGGGGCAAACAAGAGACGAACCAAAAAGCUUAGAAGGAGAAGCUAGGGCAUGAGAUGUGCGCAGGGACUUUGAAAAGCUCUGAGGUGUUCCUGAGACUCUGGAAGGCCACACACAUGCCAGGGCUGUGCACGUGCUCAGGAAAGACCUGAGAAGGCCUGAGGCCUCACCUCUGACUGACCUUGAGGCUCUGCACAAGCAGGAAGAUUGGUGGCAGUGGUGUGACUGAAAGAGACUUCCGGUGGCAUUUGGGGACAAUGAGAAACACAGUGGUGGUACCUGCAAACUCCCUUCUGAAUUCACUGUCUUUCUCACCAUUUCUGAGGGCUGUGGAUUGUUCCUGCAUAGACGAGACCCACCCGCGCUCAAACACCCAGCCAGAGAAGCCACAAGACAAUCUCCGUUGUCCUUGGAAGAAAGCCCGCCCUACCCACUAGGAGGGAGGGAGCCUCUCCUCCCGCAGCUGUGUUUACCCACAGCGCACGCCGCCCCUCGGGGAACACGCUGGAUCAAGGCGGACCUCGGGGACGCCAGGCUGCAGGGGUCAACGAGGAACUGUCAAGUUAGGUUCGCCUGUGGAUUUUAUAAUAAAUACCCCCUCCCCCAUUUUAGGCAUCAACAUAGAACGCCUUUUGAUUUCC